UCCACGCCGUAACGGUGGGUACUAGGUGUGGUUUCCUUCCCUGGGAUCCGUGCCGUAGCUAACGCAUUUAAGUACCCCGCUUUGGGAGUACGGCCGCAAGGCUUAAACUCAAAGAAAUUGACGGGGGCCCGCACAAGCGGCGGAGCAUGUGGAUUAAUUCGAUGCAACGCGAAGAACCUUACCUGGGUUUGACAUGCACAGGACGCCGGCAGAGAUGUCGGUUCCCUUGUGGCCUGUGUGCAGGUGGUGCAUGGCUGUCGUCAGCUCGUGUCGUGAGAUGUUGGGUUAAGUCCCGCAACGAGCGCAACCCUUGUCUCAUGUUGCCAGCGGGUAAUGCCGGGGACUCGUGAGAGACUGCCGGGGUCAACUCGGAGGAAGGUGGGGAUGACGUCAAGUCAUCAUGCCCCUUAUGUCCAGGGCUUCACACAUGCUACAAUGGCCGGUACAAAGGGCUGCGAUGCCGCGAGGUUAAGCGAAUCCUUUUAAAGCCGGUCUCAGUUCGGAUCGGGGUCUGCAACUCGACCCCGUGAAGUCGGAGUCGCUAGUAAUCGCAGAUCAGCA
rnacentral:rRNA from 1 species